GAUGAACGCUGGCGGCGUGCUUAACACAUGCAAGUCGAACGGAAAGGCUCCUGCUUGCAGGGGUACUCGAGUGGCGAACGGGUGAGUAACACGUGGGUGAUCUGCCCUGCACUUCGGGAUAAGCCUGGGAAACUGGGUCUAAUACCGGAUAGGACCACAUUUUGGAUGGUGUGGUGGAAAGUUUUUCGGUGUGGGAUGAGCUCGCGGCCUAUCAGCUUGUUGGUGGGGUAAUGGCCUACAAAGGCGUCGACGGGUAGCCGGCCUGAGAGGGUGUACGGCCACAUUGGGACUGAGAUACGGCCCAGACUCCUACGGGAGGCAGCAGUGGGGAAUAUUGCACAAUGGGCGCAAGCCUGAUGCAGCGACGCCGCGUGGGGGAUGACGGCCUUCGGGUUGUAAACUCCUUUCGCUAGGGACGAAGCGCAAGUGACGGUACCUGGAGAAGAAGCACCGGCUAACUACGUG
rnacentral:rRNA from 1 species